UGCCUUCGGGGCAUUGGCAGUCUAGCCCAUCGUAGGUGACAUUCACCCGACACCAGCGGCCGCUCCUCGAGCAAUCUUCGCAGUCGUCCGGCCCUGCCGUGUAGUCGAGAAGAAACCCACCCUUGAUGAGCCGCUCGUAGUCCUUGGCCGCUGCACCCUGCUGCAACCGACUCUGGUUGCAGUUGUAGAGGAAGAUGAGCUCCCGGUUUAUGGGGCUAAUCUUGAACGGCGUGAGGCCGAGGUCGGAGGAGGCGUUGACAAAGCUCUCGAUGACGCACUGGCCGUCCGUCAACUGCUCGUUUGUGACCAUGAAGGAGCUGUUGUGGUAGAAGAUGUGCUGGAUUUGGUACGUCCAGAACCCGUUCUUGAGGGAAGCAUUUCUGUGGUCGCACGUGACCUGAAAAGCUCGGUAGCCACACUCCGGCGGAUGCUUGCCGGCGAGCCAGAACGGAUAGCCGAUGGUAAGGUUCCCACACCUCGCCGGCUCGCAGAACGGCG
rnacentral:sRNA from 1 species